UGCGGGGUAGAGCAGUUGGUAGCUCGUCGGGCUCAUAACCCGGAGGUCGCAGGUUCGAGUCCUGCCCCCGCUACCA
rnacentral:tRNA from 1 species